GAUCAUGGCUCAGGACGAACGCUGGCGGCGUGCUUAACACAUGCAAGUCGAGCGAUAAAGCUUCUUCGGAAGUGGAUUAGCGGCGGACGGGUGAGUAACACGUGGGUAACCUGCCUCAUAGAGGGGAAUAGCCUUCCGAAAGGAAGAUUAAUACCGCAUAAGAUUGUAAUAUCGCAUGAUAUAGCAAUUAAAGGAGCAAUCCGCUAUGAGAUGGACCCGCGUCGCAUUAGCUAGUUGGUGAGGUAACGGCUCACCAAGGCGACGAUGCGUAGCCGACCUGAGAGGGUGAUCGGCCACAUUGGGACUGAGACACGGCCCAGACUCCUACGGGAGGCAGCAGUGGGGAAUAUUGCACAAUGGGGGAAACCCUGAUGCAGCCAACGCCGCGUGAGUGAUGACGGUCUUCGGAUUGUAAAGCUCUGUCUUCAGGGACGAUAAUGACGGUACCUGAGGAGGAAGCCACGGCUAACUACGUGCCAGCCGCUGC
rnacentral:rRNA from 1 species